UCUGUAGUUAAUUGGUGUGUCGUAGCUUCCAUCCCUGAAGACAGGCCAGGAUUCUGUUUAUAAGUGCUUCAUAAGAACAGAAUACCAACAGAAUUGUUGGGCCAGCUAGAGGAGAAAUGAGCUUAAAUACAAUUUCAAAACCAUUUUGGAAGGAUGAUGGCUGAAAUGGACAUGUGAAGACUUAUUUCUCUUAGUCCGACCACCUUCCAUAUCUAUUCAUGUGGUAGCAAAAGGCAAGAUUACACCCUCUCUUUGGCUGAAUAAUAUUCCACUGUGUAGGUAGAAGUUGAAAAACAAGACCAGAAGAUAAAACAAUAAACAGAACUUGAAAUGGAGCUGGUGUAAUGCACUAAAAAGAAAAAGGAAGAGGAGGUGGGGGUGGAGCAGGAGAAGAAGUAGGAAGAGGAGGAGGAGGAAAGAAAGAAAAAGGAAUCUGACUACUGGGAAGGACG